AUGAUCCUAGGAUGACCAUUGUGUGUACAAAGACACAGGGGUCAAAGUUAUAGACAUUAUUAUUAAUUGUUUGUACUGAGCUGGUAUCCAGAGACCUCAAUCAGGGAAAAAGGCUCCACUGUGCUAGGUGUUAUACUCAAAAUUAGUUGAACCAACAUGCAGAUGCAGAGGAGCACAAGAUUCCAGCAAAAUAAGUAUGAUACAUGUAAUAAGUUACUGUCCAGUUACUAGGUAGACAAAACUCUUGGGGUAGAGUCGAUAUCUUUCACUAGAGUAACUAAAUAGUUGCAAAAAUGUUUUUUUCUUUGCAAGCUUUUGGGUCCACAUUGCUCUUCAUCAGGCAAAAGAGAAUUCAAAGAUUGUAAAAUUUCUCCCAGGUAGAAAAGAAAAUUAAUCUUGCACAGGGGAACUCAGAGAUGGCAGGGUUCCCCUGCAUGGAAAGCCCAGUUUGUAAAAAAGCUGCUCUGCAUCGUGGUGGAGAUGAGUUUUCGGGACUACACUAUAGUGACUUUGUGGGGAUUUACAGCCAACUUCCCCCAUGUGUAAGGGCUGGUCGGAGAAAAGAUGAAGGUACUUCUAAUGAUUUAAGAAGAAAGGCAGGAUGAAGGAAGGAAGCACUUCAUGGUAAAUGACUUGGUGG